GCUUGCUCCCUGAGGUUAGCGGCGGACGGGUGAGUAACACGUGGGCAACCUGCCUGUAAGACUGGGAUAACUCCGGGAAACCGGGGCUAAUACCGGAUAAUUCAUUUCCUCUCAUGAGGAAAUGCUGAAAGACGGUUUCGGCUGUCACUUACAGAUGGGCCCGCGGCGCAUUAGCUAGUUGGUGAGGUAACGGCUCACCAAGGCCACGAUGCGUAGCCGACCUGAGAGGGUGAUCGGCCACACUGGGACUGAGACACGGCCCAGACUCCUACGGGAGGCAGCAGUAGGGAAUCUUCCGCAAUGGACGAAAGUCUGACGGAGCAACGCCGCGUGAGCGAAGAAGGCCUUCGGGUCGUAAAGCUCUGUUGUUAGGGAAGAACAAGUAUCGGAGUAACUGCCGGUACCUUGACGGUACCUAACCAGAAAGCCACGGCUAACUACGUGCCAGCAGCCGCGGUAAUACGUAGGUGGCAAGCGUUGUCCGGAAUUAUUGGGCGUAAAGCGCGCGCAGGCGGUCCUUUAAGUCUGAUGUGAAAGCCCACGGCUCAACCGUGGAGGGUCAUUGGAAACUGGGGGACUUGAGUGCAGAAGAGGAGAGUGGAAUUCCACGUGUAGCGGUGAAAUGCGUAGAGAUGUGGAGGAACACCAGUGGCGGAAGGCGACUCUCUGGUCUGUAACUGACGCUGAGGCGCGAAAGCGUGGGGAGCGAACAGGGAUUAGAUACCCUGGUAGUCCACGCCGUAAACGAUGAGUGCUAAGUGUUAGAGGGUUUCCGCCCUUUAGUGCUGCAGCAAACGCAUUAAGCACUCCGCCUGGGGAGUACGGCCGCAAGGCUGAAACUCAAGGAAUUGACGGGGCCCCGCACCAAGCGGUGGAGCAUGUGGUUUAUUCGAAGCACGCGAAGAACCUUACCAGGUCUUGACAUCCUCC
rnacentral:rRNA from 2 species